GAUGAAGAACGUAGCGAAAUGCGAUAAGUAAUGUGAAUUGCAGAAUUCAGUGAAUCAUCGAAUCUUUGAACGCACCUUGCGCCCUUUGGACAUUCCGAAGGGCAUGCCUGUUUGAGUAUCAUGAACACCUCAACUCUCACGGCUUGUCCGUGAUGAGCUUGGACUUUGGGGGUCUUGCCGGCCUGUGGUCGGCUCCUCUCAAAUGGAUCAGCUUGCCAGUGUUUGGUGGCAUCACAGGUGUGAUAACUAUCUGCGCUUGUGGUUUUCCAUCAGAUAACCUUCAGUGAUAUGGAGGUUCGCUGGAGCUCACAAAUGUCUCUCCUUAGUGAGGACAGCUCUUUGAACGUUUGAUCUCAAAUCAGGUAGGACUACCCGCUGAACUUAAGCAUAUCCAUAAGCGGAGGA
rnacentral:misc_RNA from 1 species